GCCUCCCAGAGGGCUGGGAAGACAGAGAAAGCGUGCUCCAUCAUGACCAGUGACCAGGCAAGGGGCAUGUGGCCCAGCGUAUGGGCGGACAUGUGAGAAGGUGUGUAAGGCAAGCGAGUGCUCUGCCAGCCCAUCUCUGCCUCUACAUCUUCAUCUCAUUUGAUUGGGCCGUGACCCCAGCCCUGGAGGGCUGCCCCAGAAUGAAAAGCUCCCCUCCUGCAAAGCACCCCUCUGCUGCUGCUGUUGCCACUGUGUUUGUGUGUGUUAGCUGCAAA
rnacentral:snoRNA from 1 species